rnacentral:lncRNA from 1 species
CGCUUCUCUUCCUUCCAUAAUAAAUCAAUCAUCAUGCAUCUAUGUCCUAUAGGUACAGUGGAUAGUCAUAUUUGUCAUCCAUUCAUAUGGUUAUUCAGAUUGAGUUAUUUUGGGAGAAAAACGAGAAAAAAGGCGUCCGGAUAUGUUUCCGUCAUUGGACGAAAUUUUAAGUCAUAUUAGACUUCCGGUUUGCGUUUUUCUGUAUACCUUGAACAUACAUAUACUACGAAUAAAGAGUAUUUUCUGUCUGAUAUCAUUUUCAAGUUAACUAUCCACGGCGGUCACAGAGUUUAUUAGAUAGAGAUGGUCUGUAUAAUAUAUCAAUGACCGCCGUGGAUCGAUUAUUAAACUGAGAAUUAAAAGUAAAAACAAAAUACACUUUAUAGUGAUGAAUGAGAGGGGAGGAGGGCAGGACCUUUUCGGGACGUCGGGAUCGGGUGCUUUUAAGAUCGGAAUUUCGGGAUGACGGGAUAUUUAAUUCUUAUUAAAUUCGGGACCUCGGGAUUUCAUGUUUGUACAUGUAAGCCCGGGAUAUCGGGAUCAGGAACCCUACGACACCACCACCCCCCUUUAUGAAUGUUCAUAAUAUACAGUUAAGCGCUAAAAUUAUUCAUGUGUUAUUAAAAUUAAUAGAGAACAUUGUUUUGGGGGAAAGGGAGGAGCCGGGCUAGAAAAAACAAUUGUCCUGUCCCAAAGUACCUAUGACUUUUGAUACUUUUUCUGAAAUUCUCCAGUCUUUAAAUCCUUUACAUAAAUUCAUUGAUUACAAAAAAAAAAGAUGUGUUAUGAUUGCCAAUGAGACAGCUCUCCAUACGAGACCAAAAUGACACCGAAAUUAACAACUAUAGGUCACCUUACGACCUUCAACAAUGAGCAAAGUCAAUACCCAUAGUCAGAUAUAAAAGGCCAGGAAAUGACAAUGCAAAACAAUUCAAAUGAGAAAACUAACGGCCUUAUGUGUGUACAAAAAACAAAUAUAUAACACAUAAACAAACGACAACCACAGAAUUACAGGCUCUUGCCUUGAAUGUUCAUAAUAUACUAAAUGUAUGUUCAUAAUGAAAUAAAUAGAAAACCAAAAAUUGGGAAUUUUGGAAAUAGGAGGAGGGAUACAAAAAACUUUUUCCUGUCCCCAAGUACCUAUGACUUUUGAUACUUUUCCUAAAAUUCUCAAGUCAUUAAAUAUUUUACAAAAUUCUUCCUACAAC